AGUGAACGCUGGCGGUAGGCCUAACACAUGCAAGUCGAACGGCAGCACAGUAAGAGCUUGCCCUUACGGGUGGCGAGUGGCGGACGGGUGAGGAAUACAUCGGAAUCUACUUUUUCGUGGGGGAUAACGUAGGGAAACUUACGCUAAUACCGCAUACGACCUACGGGUGAAAGCAGGGGAUCUUCGGACCUUGCGCGAUUGAAUGAGCCGAUGUCGGAUUAGCUAGUUGGCGGGGUAAAGGCCCACCAAGGCGACGAUCCGUAGCUGGUCUGAGAGGAUGAUCAGCCACACUGGAACUGAGACACGGUCCAGACUCCUACGGGAGGCAGCAGUGGGGAAUAUUGGACAAUGGGCGCAAGCCUGAUCCAGCCAUACCGCGUGGGUGAAGAAGGCCUUCGGGUUGUAAAGCCCUUUUGUUGGGAAAGAAAAGCAGCAGGUUAAUACCCCGCUGUUCUGACGGUACCCAAAGAUUAAGCACCGGCUAACUUCGUG
rnacentral:rRNA from 1 species